rfam:Parcubacteria (Adlerbacteria) bacterium GW2011_GWC1_50_9 TY61_C0002, whole genome shotgun sequence.
GCGCAGCCCUAAACUCUUUGGGGCCUGAUCCAGCAAUGAAUCAUGAGAAAAACUGGGUGAAUUCGGGGAAACUUUUCAGAAAACUGGAAACAAUCCCGAGCCAAAUCCCGAUGGGUUCGAGUAUCGGGAAAGGUGUAGAGACUAGCGGGUGAGUCCCAACAAUAAUCCUGCACAAGCGCCCAGCUCCCAGAAAACAUUUUUUGGGAUGAUGAGAUAGUCCACUGCCUUGGAAGAGGCUG